UGCCAACAUGCCAAGGGGUAGAGG
rnacentral:piRNA from 1 species